UACGUAGGGGGCAAGCGUUGUCCGGAAUCAUUGGGCGUAAAGAGCGCGUAGGCGGCCCAGUAAGUCCGCUCUGAAAGUCAGAGGCUCAACCUCUGGAUGCGGGUGGAUACUGCUGGGCUAGAGUCCGGAAGAGGCGAGUGGAAUUCCUGGUGUAGCGGUGAAAUGCGCAGAUAUCAGGAGGAACACCGAUGGCGAAGGCAGCUCGCUGGGACGGUACUGACGCUGAGGCGCGAAGGCGUGGGGAGCGAACGGG
rnacentral:rRNA from 1 species